rnacentral:rRNA from 1 species
GACGAACGCUGGCGGCGUGCCUAACACAUGCAAGUCGAACGGGUGAGAGGAGCUUGCUCCUCGAUCUAGUGGCGAACGGGUGAGUAACGCGUGAGAAACCUACCUUUCAGUGGGGGGACAACAGUUGGAAACGACUGCUAAUACCGCAUAAUGUGCCGGGAGGGCAUCCUCCUGGUACCAAAGCUUUAUGUGCUGAAAGAUGGUCUCGCGUCUGAUUAGCUAGUUGGUGAGGCAACGGCUCACCAAGGCGACGAUCAGUAGCCGGUCUGAGAGGAUGAACGGCCACAUUGGGACUGAGAUACGGCCCAGACUCCUACGGGAGGCAGCAGUGGGGAAUAUUGGGCAAUGGGGGAAACCCUGACCCAGCAACGCCGCGUGAAGGAAGAAGG